AAGACCUCCGAUACCGCUCCCUUGUGAUCCGCGCGGCAACAGCUGCUGCGCGCCGGGGUUUGUUGUCGGAUCCCGGCGCACAACACUGAAGCCGCGCCCACCGCUGUCAGGGAGAAGGGAGUGAGAAGGGGUAGAUAGGGCAGAAGGGAGUGAGAAGGGGUAGAUAGGGCAAUCAUACUCCUAUCAUGCCAAGUCUGCGAGUACAUCCUGGAAUCUGGGUAUGCCUGGACAUGAUAGGAAUGGCCAGAAUAUUCCGGUGCUCAGCUGUGAAGCGUGCACCACGGGAAGAGGGACGCCUCCCGCUCCCACCGCAGGACUCAACAAGGUAAGUAAGGGGAAGGGGCAGAGGGGGGCUCAGUGAGAAGAGGGGGGGUCAGUGAGACGGGGCAGAGGUGGUAGAUAGUGAUACAGGGGGAUAGAUAGUGAGAAAGGGGAGU